rnacentral:rRNA from 1 species
CAGCAGCCGCGGUAAUACGGAGGAUACGAGCGUUAUCCGGAAUUAUUGGGUUUAAAGGGUGCGUAGGUGGCGUAUUAAGUCAGUGGUGAAGAGCUGCAGCUCAACUGUAGUCUUGCCGUUGAAACUGAUAUGCUAGAGAGGAGACGAGGUAUGCGGAAUGUGUGGUGUAGCGGUGAAAUGCAUAGAUAUCACACAGAACGCCGAUUGCGAAGGCAGCGUACCAGGCUCCGUCUGACACUGAAGCACGAAAGCGUGGGGAUCAAACAGGAUUAGAUACCCUGGUAGUCCACGCAGUAAACGAUGAAUACUAGAUUUUUGCGAUAUAGUGUAAGAGUCUAAGCGAAAGCGAUAAGUAUUCCACCUGGGGAGUACGCCGGCAACGGUGAAACUCAAAGGAAUUGACGGGGGCCCGCACAAGCGGAGGAACAUGUGGUUUAAUUCGAUGAUACGCGAGGAACCUUACCCGGGAUUGAAAUUUAGAUGGCGGCAGAUGAGAGUUUGCUUUCCUUCGGGACAUCUAAGUAGGUGCUGCAUGGUUGUCGUCAACUCGUGCCGUGAGGUGUCGGCUUAAGUGCCAUAACGAGCGCAACCCGCGUCGAUAGUUACUAACAGGUUAUGCUGAGGACUCUAUCGAGACAGCCGUCGUAAGACGAGAGGAAGGGGCGGAUGACGUCAAAUCAGCACGGCCCUUACAUCCGGGGCGACACACGUGUUACAAUGGCAGGGACAAAGGGAAGCGACAUGGUGACAUGAAGCGGAUCUCCAAACCCUGUCCCAGUUCGGAUCGGAGUCUGCAACUCGACUCCGUGAAGCUGGAUUCGCUAGUAAUCGCGCAUCAGCCAUGGCGCGGUGAAUACGUUCCCGGGCCUUGUACACACCGCCCGUCAAGCCAUGGAAGUUGGGAGUACCUGAAGAGCGUAACCGCAAGGGGCGCUUAAGGGUAAUACCAGUGACUGGGGCUAAGUCGUAACAAGGUAAGCCGU